AGUUUCCAAGGGACGCUGAAGUUUGUCACCAUGAAAGCCCAGAUCAGCCGUAGAUCAGUCAGCAGCCAGGACAAGGUGGCGAAGGGUCGCAUCGAUCGGAACGAGAGUGACCUGAACCACGGAUCGGCGCUGGCCUUACUUGAAAAACUGGCUCAACUGGUGCCCAGCACGGACCGCUGCAAGAAGCCCACCAAGCUGGAGAUCAUGCAGGAGGUCAUCGACUACAUCCUCGACCUGGAGCUGACCCUGAAGACGCAGCCUGCGAGCUUUGCGCCGUGCCCGAUGACAUUUGAGAUCAGUCCGGCGCAGUAGUCUGGUGGCUGUCCACUUCCGUCAGCAACGUAAGGGCACGCACGUGCCCAAAAGAAAAGGUGACACAUGCGGACAAUGUCACUCACCGCUUGGCCAUGUUCACGCUUGGAGCAGCGCCUUCGCCAACUCCUGCUUCAAGCUUCGACUUAUGGGCCACCGAGACAGGAGUCUCUUAUCGGCUGCUUUUCUUCGGAGAAGCUGUUCUCCGACGCCUCAGAUUUUCGAAUAGCCCCUGGGUGCUCCUCAUGGCCUGUCACCCAGUUAACCACCGUGCAAGCUCUGGCAGUGCAAGAUUCUGACCGUCCCUUCUGCUACGUCUUCUGACAAGGAUCGUGGGAGAAAUCCGGAACACCGUGAAAAUACCGCGGACAAGACGCAUUCCGCACCAUUUCACAAGGCUUCAGCCAUCGCUCAGGUUGAAGUGUGCUUUCUACCAGCUGAAAGCAACAUGCCUGGAUUACUUGGAGCAAUCGGCUUGGCUUCUGCCCCCCUGCUGCUGCUGCCACUGCUGCUCCUAUUUGCAGUGUGUUGACAUUAACAGCCACUGUUCACACGCUGCUUCCAUCUGAACAUGGACCCCUCACGAUCUCUGGAUUCUCAAACGAGGAACGUCUUGCAUAUUUGGUCUACUGAGCAGCGGAAGAGGUUGAGAACCUGGCUCGAACCAGCACGUGCGGUAUCUACAGCUCAUCGACAUGUCCACAAGAGCUGUGCAUAUGAAGCCGCUGAGGAGUACAUGGAUGGUGACUCGGCAACCAAACGAAUCGACCAUUUCUGACAUGGACUGCAAGGGCAGAAAUAAAUAUAUUCUUGUCAAU
rnacentral:lncRNA from 1 species